GUGCUUGCUUUGGCAGUACAUAUACUAAAAUUGGAACGAUACAGAGAAGAUUAGCAUGACCCCAAGCUGCAUGUCAUGCAGUUUGCAUGACAUGCAAAUUCAUGAGGCAUUCCAUAUUUUU
rnacentral:snRNA from 2 species